AUACCCAUAAUGUGGACAAUUCAAGAGUAAGCCGUUGAAUUGCUCCAUGCUUCAAAAAACUACUCAUCUUUUUUCUGAGCAAAUUAUGAGAUUUCUCUAUGAAUAU
rnacentral:snoRNA from 1 species